rfam:Plautia stali symbiont DNA, complete genome.
AUGUUUUAAAUCAAGCUACUGAUUUUUAAACAACCUUUUCCCCUGAGUAAAGUGAAGAAUUGCUGUGUGUAGUCUUUGCCCAUCCCCUGUGAUGGGCUUUUUUUUUG